rfam:Ciona savignyi cont_58207, whole genome shotgun sequence.
UAAACUGCCCUUUUUAGGGCAACCCAUUUUAAAAAGAGGUAUGGUGU